rnacentral:rRNA from 1 species
UCAGACGAUGCGUCAUGCAUAUCAAUAAGCGGAGGAAAAGAAACUAACAAGGAUUCCCCUAGUAACGGCGAGUGAAGCGGGAAGCGCUCAAAUUUGAAAUCUUAAAGGGUUUCCCUUUACGAAUUGUAGUUUAAAGAAGUGUUUUCUGUUGAGGUUUUGGUAAAAGUUCUUCGGAAUAGGACAUCAUAGAGGGUGAGAAUCCCGUAUUUGACCUUUACUUUCAACUUUGUGAUACACUUUCAAAGAGUCGGAUUGUUUGGGAAUGCAGUCCAAAAUGGGUGGUAAAUUUCAUCUAAAGCUAAAUACUUGGCGAGAGACCGAUAGCGAACAAGUACCGUGAGGGAAAGAUGAAAAGAACUUUGAAAAGAGAGUUAAACAGUACGUGAAAUUGUCAAAAGGGAAGCGUUUGACACCAGUGUUGUUUUUCUGAAAAUCAAUUAAAGAACUGUUUAUGCUAAGCUGUUUAGACUUUAUCAGCUAAUCUGUUUAGUUUUGAGCUUUUCUUUAAUGCACUUUUCAGUUAACAAGUCAACAUCAAUUUCUUUUGCUGUAAAAAAGCUUGAGGAAGGUGGCUUGAGAUUCGUCUUAAGUGUUUAUAGCCUCUUGCCUAUGCAGUCGGAGAGAUUGAGGUCUGCAGCGUAGAUCCUUCGGGGCUAAAUGCAUUUGUGCUAAGUUAUAGCAUUUUAUAGACAACUUGUUGACUAUGAUUUGUCUUGUAGCUUACUCGCUUAUGUUAUUUUACCUACGCUUAGGAUGUUGAGCGCAUGUCUCUCUCU